rnacentral:rRNA from 1 species
AACGAACGCUGGCGGCAUGCCUAACACAUGCAAGUCGAACGAGAUCUUCGGGUCUAGUGGCGCACGGGUGCGUAACGCGUGGGAAUCUGCCCUUUGGUUCGGAACAACAGUUGGAAACGACUGCUAAUACCGGAUGAUGACGAAAGUCCAAAGAUUUAUCGCCAGAGGAUGAGCCCACGUAGGAUUAGCUAGUUGGUGUGGUAAAGGCGCACCAAGGCGACGAUCCUUAGCUGGUCUGAGAGGAUGAUCAGCCACACUGGGACUGAGACACGGCCCAGACUCCUACGGGAGGCAGCAGUGGGGAAUAUUGGACAAUGGGCGAAAGCCUGAUCCAGCAAUGCCGCGUGAGUGAUGAAGGCCUUAGGGUUGUAAAGCUCUUUUACCCGGGAUGAUAAUGACAGUACCAGGAGAAUAAGCUCCGGCUAGCUCCGUGCCAGCCGCCGCAGUAA